rnacentral:rRNA from 1 species
CCUACGGGUGGCAGCAGUGAGGAAUAUUGGUCAAUGGACGAGAGUCUGAACCAGCCAAGUAGCGUGAAGGAUGACUGCCCUAUGGGUUGUAAACUUCUUUUAUAUGGGACUAAAAUGUUCCACGUGUGGGAUUUUGUAUGUACCAUAUGAAAAAGGAUCGGCUAACUCCGUGCCAGCAGCCGCGGUAAUACGGAGGAUCCGAGCGUUAUCCGGAUUUAUUGGGGUUAAAGGGAGCGUAGGUGGAUUGUUAAGUCAGUUGUGAAAGUUUGCGGGUCAACCGUAAAAUUGCAGUUGAAACUGGCAGUCUUGAGGACAGUAGAGGUGGGCGGAAUUCGUGGUGUAGCGGUGAAAUGCUUAGAUAUCACGAAGAACUCCGAUUGCGAAGGCAGUUCACUGGACUGCAACUGACACUGAGGCUCGAAAGUGUGGGUAUCAAACAGGAUUAGAUACCCUUGUAGUC